rnacentral:rRNA from 1 species
UGGGGAAUCUUGGACAAUGGGGGCAACCCUGAUCCAGCCAUGCCGCGUGAGUGAUGAAGGCCUUAGGGUCGUAAAGCUCUUUCGCCUGUGAAGAUAAUGACGGUAGCAGGUAAAGAAACCCCGGCUAACUCCGUGCCAGCAGCCGCGGUAAUACGGAGGGGGUUAGCGUUGUUCGGAAUUACUGGGCGUAAAGCGCACGUAGGCGGACCAGAAAGUUGGGGGUGAAAUCCCGGGGGCUCAACCCCGGAACUGCCUCCAAAACUAUUGGUCUAGAGUUCGAGAGAGGUGAGUGGAAUUCCAAGUGUAGAGGUGAAAUUCGUAGAUAUUUGGAGGAACACCAGUGGCGAAGGCGGCUCACUGGCUCGAUACUGACGCUGAGGUGCGAAAGUGUGGGGAGCAAACAGGAUUAGAUACCCUGGGUAGUCCACGCCGUAAAACGAUGUCUGCUAGUCGUUGGGGGCGUAGCCCUUC